rnacentral:rRNA from 1 species
GAUGAACGCUGGCGGCGUGCCUAAUACAUGCAAGUCGAGUGAACAGACGAGGAGCUUGCUCCUCUGACGUUAGCGGCGGACGGGUGAGUAACACGUGGAUAACCUACCUAUAAGACUGGGAUAACUUCGGGAAACCGGAGCUAAUACCGGAUAAUAUAUUGAACCGCAUGGUUCAAUAGUUAAAGACGGUUUUGCUGUCACUUAUAGAUGGAUCCGCGCCGCAUUAGCUAGUUGGUAAGGUAACGGCUUACCAAGGCAACGAUGCGUAGCCGACCUGAGAGGGUGAUCGGCCACACUGGAACUGAGACACGGUCCAGACUCCUACGGGAGGCAGCAGUAGGGAAUCUUCCGCAAUGGGCGAAAGCUUGACGGAGCAACGCCGCGUGAGUGAUGAAGGUCUUCGGAUCGUAAAACUCUGUUAUUAGGGAAGAACAAAUGUGUAAGUAACUAUGCACGUCUUGACGGUACCUAAUCAGAAAGCCACGGCUAACUACGUG